rnacentral:rRNA from 1 species
GAAAGACCUGUCUCAGUUCGGAUUGGAGUCUGCAACCCGACUCCAUGAAGCUGGAUUCGCUAGUAAUCGCGCAUCAGCCACGGCGCGGUGAAUACGUUCCCGGGCCUUGUACACACCGCCCGUCAAGCCAUGGAAGCCGGGGGUGCCUGAAGUGCGCUGCCGCAAGGAGCGCCCUAGGGUAAAACCGGUGACUGGGGCUAAGUCGUAACAAGGUAGC